rnacentral:rRNA from 1 species
AGUCGACGGGCUCUUCGGAGCAAGUGGCGGACGGGUGAGUAACGCGUGAGAAUGUGCCUUCAGGAUGGGGAUAACAAUAGGAAACUAAUGCUAAGACCCAAUGUGCCUUAAGUGGUGAAAAAUGAAAAUUGCCUGAAGAGGAGCUCGCGUCUGAUUAGCUAGUUGGGGUGGUAAAAGCGCACCAAGGCAACGAUCAGUAGCUGGUCUGAGAGGAUGAGCAGCCACACUGAGACUGAGACACGGCCCAGACUCCUACGGGAGGCAGCAGUGGGGAAUUUUCCGCAAUGGGCGAAAGCCUGACGGAGCAAUACCGCGUGAGGGAGGAAGGCUCUUGGGUUGUAAACCUCAAAACUUAGGGAAGAAAAAAAUGACGGUACCUAAUUUAAGCAUCGGCUAACUCCGUGCCAGCAGCCGCGGUAAUACG